rnacentral:lncRNA from 1 species
AGAGAACUGGCCAGGGUAUAAAAAGGGCCCACAAGAGACCGGCUCUAGGAUCCCAAGGCCCAACUCCCCGAACCACUCAGGGUCCUGUGGACAGCUCACCUAGUGGCAAUGGCUCCAGGCUCCCGGACGUCCCUGCUCCUGGCUUUUGCCCUGCUCUGCCUGCCCUGGCUUCAAGAGGCUGGUGCCGUCCAAACCGUUCCCUUAUCCAGGCUUUUUGACCACGCUAUGCUCCAAGCCCAUCGCGCGCACCAGCUGGCCAUUGACACCUACCAGGAGUUUGAAGAAACCUAUAUCCCAAAGGACCAGAAGUAUUCAUUCCUGCAUGACUCCCAGACCUCCUUCUGCUUCUCAGACUCUAUUCCGACACCCUCCAACAUGGAGGAAACGCAACAGAAAUCCGUGAAAUCUAGAGCUGCUCCGCAUCUCCCUGCUGCUCAUCGAGUCGUGGCUGGAGCCCGUGCGGUUCCUCAGGAGUAUGUUCGCCAACAACCUGGUGUAUGACACCUCGGACAGCGAUGACUAUCACCUCCUAAAGGACCUAGAGGAAGGCAUCCAAACGCUGAUGGGGGCUGGAAGACGGCAGCCGCCGGACUGGGCAGAUCCUCAAGCAGACCUACAGCAAGUUUGACACAAACUCGCACAACCAUGACGCACUGCUCAAGAACUACGGGCUGCUCUACUGCUUCAGGAAGGACAUGGACAAGGUCGAGACAUUCCUGCGCAUGGUGCAGUGCCGCUCUGUGGAGGGCAGCUGUGGCUUCUAGGUGCCCGAGUAGCAUCCUGUGACCCCUCCCCAGUGCCUCUCCUGGCCCUGAAGGUGCCACUCCAGUGCCCACCAGCCUUGUCCUAAUAAAAUUAAGUUGU